rnacentral:rRNA from 1 species
GACGAACGCUGGCGGCGUGCUUAACACAUGCAAGUCGAACGGUAAGGCUCCAGCUUGCUGGGGUACACGAGUGGCGAACGGGUGAGUAACACGUGGGUGACCUGCCCUGCACUUCGGGAUAAGCCUGGGAAACUGGGUCUAAUACCGGAUAGGACCAUGGUGUGGAUACUGUGGUGGAAAGUUUUUUCGGUGUGGGAUGGGCCCGCGGCCUAUCAGCUUGUUGGUGGGGUAAUGGCCUACCAAGGCGGCGACGGGUAGCCGGCCUGAGAGGGUGGACGGCCACAUGGGGACUGAGACACGGCCCAGACUCCUACGGGAGGCAGCAGUGGGGAAUAUUGCACAAUGGGCGGAAGCCUGAUGCAGCGACGCCGCGUGGGGGAUGACGGCCUUCGGGUUGUAAACUCCUUUCACCAUCGACGAAGGGUUUCUGACGGUAGAUGGAGAAGAAGCACCGGCUAACUACGU